rnacentral:lncRNA from 1 species
AUGAAGUCAGAAGCCCCCGCCCCCAUCGCCGCGUCUCCUGGCAUGGAAAAACAGACUCGGGGCCGCUUGGGGCCUCCUGAGGUCUCAACAACGUGGCGGAGGCCAAAGCAGGCCGCUGCCCUCCAACGCGUUCAGGUGCUGGGAGCAUCUUGCCCGGCCCGGUUGCGGCAGCAGCCUCCCAAGACUCAGGCAGGCCGCAGGGUCCUGCCCGGCGCCCGGGCCCUCAGAGGGCUGGCUCCGGGGCGACCCGAGCCAUCCGAACCUCUAGCAAACGAGCAUCCCCCACCGAGAGCCGAGGCCAGAAAGGACGCGCCGUCUUCCCACAAUGCUUUUCUACGACUGGAACGACCCAUUGCUAGAGGGGUGCGGGGAGGACGGACUGCACCAUCGACAUUCGCGCGCCCUCGCCAGACGCCGCCGUGUGGCCGGAGGGCGAAUUGCCCAGUGAUUGGCAGAGGGGCGGGGCGGCACGGGCAGAGUUGUGAGGGCGCGGCUUCUCACUCCCAGCGCCGGCCGGUGGAGCCCAGCGAGCAGUUCUUUAUGCGGGAGGGGAGGUUUUUUCCCAUUGUGGAUACUCAACCACCCCUCCUCCCAGUGUCAAGAGCACACGGUCAGCGCUGAGCUGCGGGUGUAGUCCAGAGGACCGGAGACCUCGUGUUCUGAGGAGGAGAGACAGAGCUCACCGUCUCCAGCUGAGGAAGAGUAAGGUCAUUAAUCCAGAAAUAUUUAUUGAGUAUAUACUGUGCUUCAUGCUCUAUUCUAAAUGCCUGAGAACCAGGUGUGAAUGAGACAGAGUUCCUGUCUUACAUUCUGUUUCUGUGAGAAAGAUACGAAACAGGUAACGUGCACCCCGUAAGUUCAUCAGUGUAAGUGCCAAGACGGAAACAAAGGAGGCGAAAACGUGAUAGGGCCGCGCAGUCCGGUAGGAAUCGAGUGCGAACCACGAAUGUCUUAAGUUUUCGAAAUGCACGUUAAAAGGAACAAGUUAGGAGAAGGAAACGGCAACCCACUCCAGUGUUCUUGCCUGGAGAAUCCCAGGGACAGAGGAGCCUGGUGGGCUGCCGUCUAUGGGGUCGCACAGAGUCGGACACGACUGAAGUGACUUAGCAUGCAUGCAUGCAUGCAUUGGAGAAGGAAAUGGCAACCCACUCCAGUAUUCUUGCCUGGAGAAUCCCAGGGACAGAGGAGCCUGGUGGGCUUCCGUCUACAGGGUCGCACAGAGUCGGACACGACUGAUGCCACUUAGCAGCAGCAGCAGCAUAGAACUGGGGGAGUGGGAAUGGAUGGCUAGGGAGGUGACAGCUUAAAGAUAUGGGGUUUCUUUUGAGAUGAAAAUGUUCUAAAUGGUGAUGGUUGCAUAUAUCUGUGAAUAUGUCUAAAAACCAUUGAAUCAUAUACUUUAAAUGGGUGCAUUGUAUGAUGUCAAUUAUAUCUCAAUAAAACCUUUUUUAAGUUAAAAAAAAAGGAACAAGUUAAAUUCUGAGUUGCAAACUGUGGUAAGUAUUAUCAUUUAAACAUGUAGUUACUAUACAAUUAUUAAUGAUAUACAUUGCAUUCUUUUAUUCCUAUGAAGUCUUCGAAAUCCAGUGUAUUUAUUUCUAGUACAUUUCAAUUCAGAUGAGUCACGUUUCUGGUGCUCAGAAGCAGGCCCUGGUCAGCGUGGCUGGAGCCGCCAGAGGAGUGCAGGCUGGCAUCAGAUGCGGCGGGAGAGACAGGCGGGAACAAAUCAUAUAGGGAUUUUACCUGUGGUAAGGGGUUGGGAUUUUAUGCUGAAAUUUUAAAAUUGAUUUUUAGCACUGAAAGAAAGUAGAGGUGGUUCAUUGGUUUCUUGCGGAUCACCAUAACUUAUGGGAGGGAUGGAAACUGUAGUGAUUUGGACUGUGUGGUUUCCUUGCACCCCCAAGUCCUAGUAGAGAAGCACCAGAGACUUCAGCCCAGCACCUUUCUUUGUUUCUUUGAAGCUUCUGCAUGAAGAAAGAGAGAAGGGAGGGAGGGAAGGAAGGAAGGAAUGAAAGGGAAAGAGAGAAGAUAGAAGAAGUGAGAAAAGAAAAAAAAAAAAAGAAACAGAGAAAGAGGAAAGAGAAGAAGGAAAGGAAGGAAGAAGAAAAGAAAAGGUAAUUUAAUGCCUGUAGUCCAGUGGUCAUCCCACAAGGACUGGCCUGAAUGAUAACAUCACCAUUGGGACAAAGGGGCAGGGACCAUACAGAAGUAAAUGUGUAAUGACCAUGAAAAGGUAAAUAAAUCUAAGACCUUCAUUAGGAAGUCUCUGUAACAUUUGGGGAGAGAAAGUUUGGAGAAGGAGAAGGUCUCCUCAAAGAGUGUUAUUUGAAGACUCUGAAGGGUACAGUUUGGGGAUUAUGGCAACUUUCAAUCUUGCCUUCUUGCUCGGGAGAGUCAGUGAGAAGAUAUUUCUUUUGGCUGGAGGAGCCAGCUGACCCAAGUUCCUAUCCAGCUCUUUGACUUUUGGCUUCCCUGGUGGGCAGACGUUGAAGAGUCUACCUGCAGUAGAGGGAGACCCAGGUUCAAUCCCUGCGUCAGGAAGAUUCCCCCGGAGGAAGAAAUGGGAACCCACUGCAGUGUUCUUGCUUGGAAAAUCCCAUGGACGGAGGAGUCUGGCGGGCUACAGUCCAUGGGGUUGCAAAGAGUCAGACACAACUAAGCGACUUGACUUUCUUUCUUUCUUUGACUUUUGUGCUUUUGGGUAAGUGACCACGUCUCUAAGCCCAGGGUUCUAUCUUAUAGGAUAAUACCUUUACCUGUGUACCACAUGGGUGCAUGUGUGCCUGCUCCGUUGCUCAGUCAUAUCCGACUCUUUGUGAUCCUAUGGACUGUAGCUCACCAGGCUCCUCUGUCUAUGAAAUUGUCCAGGCAAGAAUUCUGGAGCGGGUUGCCAUUUCCUCCUCAAGGGGGUCUUCCUGACUCAGGGAUUGAACCCGCGUCUCUUGUGUCUCCUGCACUGGCAGGCAGACGCUUGGCCGCUGCACCACCUGGGAAUUCCACGUGCCACAUUGUUGUCGUUCAGCCGCUAAGUUGUGUCCGACUCUGCGGCCCUAGGGGCUGCAGCAUGCCAGGCAUCCCUGUCCUUCACUGUGUCCCAGAGGUUGCCAUGGACCACAUAGAUUAAAGAUUUAAGCAAGGUUUGUUGCAUCAGUUAACACUGUACAGUACAUAGUGACACCCAAUUAAGGACUCUGAUGAGCUAUACUCUCCUUGUUUACUGCCAUCCCAAGUAUGGAAACUUCUUGGGUUGACGUCUUAAGGAAGUGGGGUACUAUGCUGCUAUUUUUCUUUUAACAUCUUGACAUUUUGUUUCCACCUCAUUCUUUCUCAUCCGCCCCUUGUAAAUCAUCCCUAAACUCUGGAUGGUUCAAGAAUAGAAGGCAUUUGUUUCAAUUACUGGAUUAAUGUUAAGUGUCAGGAAAUUCAUUUGAAAUUCUUCAUCUUCCCGUCUGCUUCGACCUCACAUAGCCUAGGAAGGAAGGCUUGAUAAUUCAGCCAACGCAAGCAGAAAGGACGUGAGAAAAAGUUAGGGGGUAGUUCCUAUGCUGUUGGUAUGGAAAGAUGUACAAGCUACCUACAGUGUUAAUGCAAGCGUGGAACAAACCCAGUUUCCUUGUUCUGAUUGGUAGGCAGAAUAAUGGUCCCUCAAAGGUGUCCACAUCCUAAUUCCCAGAACCCGUGAAUAUGUUCCAUUAUGUAGUAAAAAGGGGGCUUUGCAGAUGUGAUUAAUAUGAGGGACCGCGCAAUGAGAAGAUAAAAAACGCAGAGAAAAAAAGUCAGAGAGAUGUGGCAGAAGAGAAGGCAGGAGAAGGACUCAACCUUCCGUUGCUAGCUUUGAAGAUGGACGGGGAAGAUCUUUGGAUGGACAGCAUCUAGAAUCUGGGAACGGCCCUCCUCUGACAGCCAGUAAGCAAACACGGACGUCCUGUCUACAGCUGUGUGCACCGAAUCUGCCAACCACCUGAGUGUGCACGAAAGCAGAUUCUCCCCUGGAGUCUCCAGAAAAGAACACAGCCGUGCUGAUGCCUUGACUUUAGUCCACUGAAACUCAUGCCAGACUUCCUACCUACAGAGCUGUGAUCAUAGAUUUGUGUUGUUUGAAGCUGCUAAAUUUGUGUUAAUUUGUUAUGGUGGCAAGAGAAAACUAAUAAACCCUGUAAGGGUGGAGAGGGAGAAGUGGGCUGCUUUUCUUCCCCUGCUCCUCGUCCUGCUUCAAUUUUCUCAUCAGGGACACAGUAAAAUUUUGCAGAUAAGCUAUGCACAUUUCAUUGUGAAGUGCUUAAUCCAUAGGACUGACAUUUUCUUUAUGUUGGGAGUUAGGGAUCUGAUAUAAAAUCCAAUAGAUAUUAAAUAAUUUGAAUACUCAAUUUAAAGUCAUUUGUGAUUUUCUUGGAUUUUCUCUUUAAACAAUCAUAUUAUCUAUGAAAGUGUUUUUCCUUUCUACUUAUACUGUGUGUGUGUGCAUGCCCAAACUGGGACAUGUAGGAUAUUGUUGAAUAGAAUGAUAAUAGACAUCCUUGUCUUGUUCCCAGCUUUAAGAGAAUGCCCGUAAAGUUUCAGCAUGUAUGUACAACAUGUAUGACAUUUUAAUGCAUUUUAUCGUUGAUUGGGUUAGAGAAGUGUCCUAUUUUUAGUUUGCUAAUAGUUUUUUUUAAUAUAUCAUGAGUGGAUGUUAAAUUUUAUUAAAUGGUUUUUUUUUCUGCCUCUAUUGAGAUGAACACAAGGUUUUUUCUUAUAGUGUGUUAAUGAGGUGAAUUGCGUGAAUACAUUUGCUAAUGUUGAACCAGCCUUACAUUUCUGGGAGAAACCAAACUUGUCAUUUCAAAAACUGUUCUGUUUAGAAUUACUGCAUUUAUAUUUAUGGACAAGAGGGGAUUGUGUUUAUCUUUCUCAUACUGUCUUCGAUAGUUUUUUUUAUCUAUGUGUUUAGACAUUUGUGCAUUUAUUUUUGGCUGUGCCGGGUCUUGGCUGCUGUGAGCGGGCAUUUCUCUAGUAGCGACAAGCAGGGGCUGCCCUGGAGCUGUGGUGCUCGGGCUCCUUACUGCGGUGGCUUCCGUUGCAGAGCACAGGCUCUAGGUUUACAGGCUUCAGUGGUUGUGGCACCGGGUUUAGUUGCUCUGUGUCAUGUGGGAUCUUCCCAGACCAGGGGUUGAACUGGUGUUUCCUGUAAUGCAAGGCAGAUUCUUAACCACUGGACCACCAGGAAAGCCCCUUUGAUAGUUUUGGCUAGAAUUAUACAGAUAGUUUGGGGCUUCCCUGGUGGCUCAGACAGUAAAGCGUCUGCCUGCAAUGUGGGAGUCCCGGGUUCAAUCCCUGGGUCGGGAAGAUCCCUUGGAGGAGGAAAUGGCAACCCACUGCAGUACUCUUGCCUGGAAAAUUCCAUGGACUGAGGGGCCUGGUAGGCUACAGUCCGUGGGGUCGCCAAGAGUCGGGCACGACUGAACGGCUUCACUCACUCACACAAUAGUUCUUCUUGUCCUUGUGCUCGGUGGUU